rnacentral:rRNA from 1 species
UACGGAGGGGGCUAGCGUUGUUCGGAAUUACUGGGCGUAAAGCGUACGUAGGCGGCUUGGUAAGUUAGAGGUGAAAGCCCGGAGCUCAACUUCGGAAUAGCCUUUAAGACUGCCUCGCUUGAACGUCGGAGAGGUGAGUGGAAUUCCGAGUGUAGAGGUGAAAUUCGUAGAUAUUCGGAAGAACACCAGUGGCGAAGGCGGCUCACUGGACGACUGUUGACGCUGAGGUACGAAAGCGUGGGGAGCAAACAGG